ACGGGUGAGUAACGCGUAGACAACCUACCCUUUAGAUGGGGACAACACCGCGAAAGUGGUGCUAAUACCGAAUAUUGCUUGAGAAGCGCAUGCUUUUCAAACUAAAGAUGGCCUCUAUUUAUAAGCUAUCGCUAAAGAAUGGGUCUGCGUCUGAUUAGCUAGUUGGUGAGAUAAAAGCUCACCAAGGCAACGAUCAGUAGCCGGUCUGAGAGGAUGAACGGCCACACUGGGACUGAGACACGGCCCAGACUCCUACGGGAGGCAGCAGUGGGGAAUCUUCCGCAAUGGACGAAAGUCUGACGGAGCAACGCCGCGUGAGUGAUGAAGGUUUUCGGAUCGUAAAACUCUGUUGUUAAGGACGAAUGUAUAGAUUGUGAAUAAUGGUUUAUAAUGACGGUACUUAACGAGGAAGCCACGGCUAACUACGUGCCAGCAGCCGCGGUAAUACGUAGGUGGCGAGCGUUGUCCGGAAUUAUUGGGCGUAAAGGGAGCGCAGGUGGGAAUGUAAGUCAAUCUUAAAAGUGCGGGGCUCAACCCCGUGAUGGGAUAGAAACUACAUUUCUUGAGUGCAGGAGAGGAAAGUGGAAUU
rnacentral:rRNA from 1 species